UGUGCCCAGAUGGGAUUAGCUAGUAGGUGGGGUAACGGCUCACCUAGGCGACAUCCCUAGCUGGUCUGAGAGGAUGACCAGCCACACUGGAACUGAGACACGGUCCAGACUCCUACGGGAGGCAGCAUG
rnacentral:rRNA from 1 species